UACGUAGGGGGCAAGCGUUAUCCGGAUUUACUGGGUGUAAGGGGAGCGUAGGUGGCAGGGCAAGUCAGAUGUGAAAACCCGGGGCUCAACUCCGGGAGUGCAUUUGAGACUGUCCAGCUGGAGUGCAGGAGAGGUAAGCGGAAUUCCUAGUGUAGCGGUGAAACGCAUAGAUAUUAGGAGGAACACCAGUGGCGAAGGCGGCUUACUGGACUGUAACUGACACUGAGGCUCGAAAGCGUGGGGAGCAAACAGG
rnacentral:rRNA from 1 species